GUGCUCGCUUCAGCAGCACAUAUACUAAAGUUGGAACAAUAUAGAGAAGAUUACCAUGGCUCCUGUACAAGGAUGACAUGCAUAUUUGUAAAGCAUUCCACAUUUUU